rnacentral:lncRNA from 1 species
UAUCACUGCUCCUCCAGUAGCACCAAUAUAACUUUGAAUUAAUGUAUCUUUCGGUAUUGGACAUUUACCACUGCGAUUCGUAUAAUUUACUAUAGCGUUGAACGAUUGGUUACACCAUUGCCAAAAUAUCACUGCCGGUGUUGAUCUAUCGAAUAUAACACAAAAUUAUUAUUUCGUAACUACAAUAAAUACAGAAAAAAAGAAAAAGAAAAUACUAGUGUGUCAAGUGUUGAUCUAACAGCGAGACAAAUAUUUUUUAUCGUUUAUCGCGAUGUGGAAUAUUCAUGUUCGAUAACGUCAAUCAAUUUAUUUCACAUUCUUCUCUUAAUAUAUAUAUAUAUAUAUACAUAUAUAUAUAUUAUUUAUGACUUCAUUCGUAACUAAAUCACAACGGAAAUAAGGGAAACAGGUCAAAAGUCAUAAACGAAUCUUAUCUUUCUCGGACGUUCUUUACGUAUACAUACUUGUAGAACGUCAUCAUCAAACCGGUUAUGGUCAUGUUCAUCGGCACUUGGGCACUCAUACGACCGAUCAAGAGCAUCUUUUCUCCUGUAUCUGGAUGAUAAGCGCUGUCGAAUAAAUAUUUUUCUUUCCA